AGAGGUGUAGUUCCGUGGUAGAAUGCAGCUUAGCAUGCUUGAGGCCCUGGGUUUGAUCUCCAGCAACACAC
rnacentral:tRNA from 1 species